rfam:Paenibacillus sp. MAEPY2 contig12, whole genome shotgun sequence.
ACAACAAAAAGAAGCCCUCUUUCGAGAGCUUCUUUUUCAUGGGAGAGGAGAAACCGGACGAAGAGCUUAUGGGGAAACGUAAGUCUUCUCCGCGG